CGCAGCCGCUCCUCUAGGACGGCCCGCUCCGUCUGGACCAGCUGGGCGCUCCGCUGAGCCUCCACAAGGCUGGCCGAUCGCUGACGCAGAGCCUGAGAGGAGAAAACAGACUUUACUUCUUCUGAAGAAACUCCGUGACACUCGCCUUCAUCCACCAGAAAAUUGUCCAAAUUGAAUUUACAAAAAUAAAUUUGCUUGAUAGAGGAACGUCGCUCCAUACAAAGCAUUUGAGUCACAACCGGAUGUUACUACUGGCGAAAAUGACAAAGGAGACGACAGGAAGAGGUAAGAUUUCGGACAGCUGGCUCCACUAGAGGUUUGGACUAUUCUUAAAACGUUUUGCGUCAUUUGAUCUUGAAUCCAUAGCUCUUCCGUAAACUAGUUUCUCCAAAACACGCCAUAAAUGGUUCCUCCCAAGUCUAAGCGAUGUGAUGCUCCAACACCCGACGUCUUCUCAGAUGCAAAACGGCUGAAUUAUGAAUAUAAUUUCAUGUGUUUACAUUCAUCGCAGCCAUGGUUUUAAUGAUUUAUCAUCUGAACAGGCUUUUUCACAUAAACUCAGCUGAUCUCUCUGACCUCCUGAGUGCCGCUGAGCUCGGCCUCCAGCUCUUCUCGCCGCAGCUCGCUCUGGUUCAGCUCACUCUGCAGGUCCUGCACGCGCUCAGCGGCCUUCCUGCAAUCUGACCCACAAACCUGCAGGAGCCUCUUGUCCUGCUCAGCCGAACCGAGCGUCUUCUGCAGGGCGAGCAGACGGCUCUGCAUGCCGC